rnacentral:rRNA from 1 species
UACAGAGGUCUCAAGCGUUAUCCGGAUUCACUGGGCUUAAAGGGUGCGUAGGAGGGCAGGUAAGUCAGUGGUGAAAUCUCCGGGCUCAACUCGGAAACUGCCGUUGAUACUAUCUGUCUUGAAUAUCGUGGAGGUGAGUGGAAUAUGUCAUGUAGCGGUGAAAUGCUUAGAUAUGACAUAGAACACCAAUUGCGAAGGCAGCUCACUACACGUAUAUUGACUCUGAGGCACGAAAGCGUGGGGAUCAAACAGG